CUCGGACUGAACUCGCAAAUUCUUUGUAUUGACGAUUUUCGAGGGUGGCCAGGGUUUCGUGACCGGUUCAAGUACAUUGACAUAGUAAACGGUGACGUCAUGCUGCUGUAUCAGUUCAUGCAAAAUGUAAUUUACAUGAAUGCCAGCAAAACGGUUUUACCGGUGCCGUUUUCAAGUGGGUCUGCUCUGGAGAAACUGUGCGAGUGGGGCGUGUAUGGAGACUUAAUUGAGAUAGACGCGGGUCAUGAUUUUAACUCGGCUUGGGCGGAUAUAAACCGAGCAUAUCGGAUCUUGAGACCCGGUGGGAUAAUAUUUGGACAUGAUUAUUUUACCGCCGCUGAUAAUAGAGGAGUAAGAAGAGCAGUGAAUUUGUUUGCUCAAAUGAAUGGGCUUGAAAUCCAAACGAAUGGUCAACAUUGGGUGAUCGAUUCCGCACAAGCUCCUUCCACUUAAUUAAUUACGUAAAUUUUAGCUGUCAUGUCAAUACUCACUUUUAUUGCUUUUUUUUUUCCCAAAAAUUAAUACCCG
rnacentral:misc_RNA from 1 species